rnacentral:ncRNA from 1 species
UCAAGGGUUUCCGAGUUAGAGCUUAACGGAUGAAAAACCCUCGCCGGACACGUCGAAGAGG